GAUGAACGCUGGCGGCGUGCCUAAUACAUGCAAGUCGAGCGAACGGACGAGAAGCUUGCUUCUCUGAUGUUAGCGGCGGACGGGUGAGUAACACGUGGAUAACCUACCUAUAAGACUGGGAUAACUUCGGGAAACCGGAGCUAAUACCGGAUGAUAUUUUGAACCGCAUGGUUCAAAAGUGAAAGACGGUCUUGCUGUCACUUAUAGAUGGAUCCGCGCUGCAUUAGCUAGUUGGUAAGGUAACGGCUUACCAAGGCAACGAUGCAUAGCCGACCUGAGAGGGUGAUCGGCCACACUGGAACUGAGACACGGUCCAGACUCCUACGGGAGGCAGCAGUAGGGAAUCUUCCGCAAUGGGCGAAAGCCUGACGGAACAACGCCGCGUGAGUGAUGAAGGUCUUCGGAUCGUAAAACUCUGUUAUUAGGGAAGAACAUAUGUGUAAGUAACUGUGCACAUCUUGACGGUACCUAAUCAGAAAGCAACGGCUAACUACGUG
rnacentral:rRNA from 1 species